GGCGGCAUCCAGCUUUGAGGUUGACCCUGACAGCAUUUAUCCAUUUUCCGUUUGGCCCUAAUUAAUUGCCAAAUCAUAGAGGUUAUAGAUAUUACCACCGGCAACAAGAUACCAAUUUCGGCUGGCGGUUGUUGAUGAACAUUAAUGAUAGGCAUGAAAUUCAAAUAACGGGUCUAAUGGUCGCUAGCAAACAGAUCAUGAUGAACCCUUCUGAGUUCUGACAGUGUGUUGUUGCUGGCAAGCAAUGCUCCAUUUCUGAUUCCUGAUCGAGCUAUUAUCUUUACUUUGUUUUCUUUAUGAUGCCAGAGCUGUUGCUGGAUUCACAUUGUAAACUUUGCUAAAGCAAAUGUUACCCUCACUUAGUUAUUCAUGGGUAAUUCCUUUAACAUAUUUGCGUCACUGUUUUAGUGCAGAUUAACUUGGGCUCCAGAAAAUGCGUCAAAGCCACUAACGAAUAGUAAGACUUGUUGAUUUACUCCACGAAGAAGUUGAACAGUUCUGCUGUGUGCAUUUGUCUCGUUCAUUGUACGUUCUUCUAGUGAUGAUGUCAAUGCUACUCUGGAGCGGUGCAUUUUCACGGUAUCAAACAUCUAUUGGAACUAUACUAACUCUAAGGAUUAUGAUUACAGCUUGUUCAUAAACUAAACAGUGCGAGGGGCCUCCAUGUAUAAAAAUCAGGAAUCAUCAUGUAGCAUGGAAGGGCUCUUGAUCAAUGACUACUGGUUUUGAAAUCCUCUUCAUCACUUUCCCUUUUAGCCUCUGCUGUUGCACCACUAAUAUGGAUGCUGUCCGUUCAAAAUCAGGCUCAGCAAGCAUGUCCCCUAUCACACCAAGUUCUGGACAACCUAUCCAAGCACCAAGGCCUUCCAAGAGAGGAGAUUCUUGGUGAUUUCUUCCUACAAGAAUCAAAUCAAAACUACCUCCUAAUCUUGUUGCAGAUGCAGCUAGUCCUACACUAUCUCUGACGAUCUCUUCUUGGAGGAGGAAACGGAAAACUGUAAGGCUGACAUGGGGAUGCAUCACCAUGCGAGCAGCAUAAGAUAGUGACUCUGCAUCAUCUGCACCACCAAUGAAGAUUACUGCAACAUGAUAUGAAGAUUGACCGUUCAAAAUGGUUCUGGAGCCACGCAGAGUUGUCCGAUCCACUAAAACAGCAACGGAGCAAGGUGACUUUUCUAUGACCUGGGCAUUCAUGUUUUGUAUGGCACGGUUUACUGAUCCAAUCGAGCCAUCAAUUUCCCAUUGCUUAUGAAAUGGUAGAAUGAUGAUGUUGGUAUUUUGAUCAAGUGCCACGCGACAAACAUCUUCGUGCAUUGUGUCAAAUUGUGAGAUAGAACUGAAUGACUGAAAGGUGACACAAGCCUCAUUGCAGAGCUCAUAUUGCCGCAAGGCAUUGAUAAUGCGGCCUGAUCUGGAGGAACUAGGCUGCAGCAAUCUGUGGGACUGAUGAGCAAUGAGCAUGGGGUUUGCCCGACCUACCAGCUCAAUGAGCAGGACGGCUAUGACUGUAACUGGGCUUUCUUCCGUUGCAUUGGAAGCUUCAAGCAGAUUCACCAUUGCGGGGACAUUCUCUUGGUUAUGGAUGCAGACUAAUAUUCUCAACUCUGUGCCGCGCUUGCAAUGCUGAAUGGUUCUCCGUCUCACUGGAGUAAGUCGCGAAGAUGGGUCAUAGAGAAGUUUGAUUAGUAGUGUUGUGAUUGCCGUGACUAGAAUCACUGACACAACACAUAAAGCAAAUGCUUCAGGUUUCAAAACCUGUCAUUUCAAAUAAAAAUGAUAAUAAUGAAAAAAAAAAAA